AAUAAAUAAACAAACUCAUUUUGGUUAUCGUAAAUUCUUACGUUUGCUUCUGGUUGGACAUGCGCACAUUCAUACUUUACGACUUACUAGACUGUGUGUGUGUAUGUGUUUGUUUAAUUUUUUUUUUGUCUUUCUUUUUGACAAAAUGUAUCAAUUUAUUGCAUUCGAACAGUGAGUAAAUGAUUUUAAGUUCAUGAUAAAAUGUGAUGAUUUCAGGUAUGUCGGUUCAUAAAGACGCCUGAUGUCGGGACGGUGAAGGCACGUCUACAAGAUAAUGUGGUGUAAACAGAUGGUAAACGUAAUUUCCGGACACAGAUGCGACUUGCAAGGGUCAAAAUCUUUAUAUUAUGGUAUGUCUGCUUCACUACGAUUGACAAAACUUGCACAUCUACUUUCAAGCUGGUGAAAGCACGACUUCAAGAUGUAAACUAAAAAAGAAGAUGGUAAUUUCCGGCCACAAGUGUCAAAAUCUUAAAAUUAGGGUCGAAGAGAAAUAUACGUCUCCUUGCGGUAAACAGAAUACAGCACGGCAUUUUGCUUCAUAUACGUGUUAUUCAAAAGACAACAACAGUUUAAAGCCAAAGGAACCCAAUCUAACAAAUUGUGUCAGUCUUUGGACAUUGGAAAUUCUCCCCUUUGCUGAUGAAAUACCAUCUAUCAUUUAAUGGAUAUUUAACUAGAACAGAACGGAACAGAACAGAACAGAACGGACCAGAACAGAACUCUCAGUCAGCAUUUACAUCUCUGUAAACGGCAUCGAUAUUGCCAUUUAAUUUAUCAUAUAUUUAUCGAUUUAUAACUGGUAUUCUGCGGACUCCGUAAUUGAUACAUUGCCAUUUUCUUGACAAAAUAUUGAUAAAUCAGUUGAUAGACCGAUACCGAAGUUGGAUUUUGCUGUUAUCCGAAUUCAGAAAGCAGCAUAAUACAAUAAGUACAAUGAUUAUCAAGAUUUAUAAAAAAUGUUUCACCUAGAGUUAUUUUGACAUAGGAAAUUCUACACGUCUGACAAACCGGAAGUAAAGGCAUGACGUCAUUUAACCGGAAAUAUAACACAAAACCUGGACUCGGCAUAUGGAUUCUCCUUUUCGUUUGCCUAAUUUUCUUAAAAUAUCUAUGGGUUUGAAAACUUAAGAUUUUCUCAAUUCGAGCAAACAACAACAACAACUACAAAACCACCAUAAUGUAAAUUCUGUAUGUUUUGUGCAAAUUUGUCAAGAG
rnacentral:lncRNA from 1 species